GACGGACGCUGACGGUGUGCUUUAGACAUGCAAGUCGAACGAGAAAGCCCUUCGGGUUAGUAGAGUGGCGCACGGGUGAGUAACACGUAGGUAAUUUGCCUUCGGGUGGGGAAGUAACAGCCGGAAACGGCUGCUAAUACCGCAUAAUGCAGCGGCUCGACAUCGAGACAGUUGUUAAAGCGGGGGAGUUCGCAAGAACCUCGCGCCUGAAGAGAAGCCUGCGGCAGAUUAGCUAGUUGGUAGGGUAAUGGCCUACCAAGGCGACGAUCUGUAACCGGCCUGAGAGGGCGGGUCGGUCACACUGACACUGACAUACGGGUC
rnacentral:rRNA from 1 species